GCGGCCCCUCCAAGGACGCUACCACUCUGCCCAAACCUCAUCUCCCAGGAUGGAGGGUGCCUCUUCCAUCCCAAUCUGGCCGCACUCCACCUGACAGCAUGGAUAGACUUGGAAGAGUGCAGGUGUUC